rnacentral:lncRNA from 1 species
GCGGCAGCAAAAUUACGAAUGUCGUUCACAACAGUCUUUUCUUUCUCUCUCUAAAAAUCCUCAAUUCCACCCAAACCCCAAAAUCCCCAAAAGUCCCAAAAUUCACAAAAACCCUCAACCUCUCUCACAAAUCCUCCAAAAUCAGAAAAUUUCGUCAAUUUGAAAGGUAAUUAAUCAUCUAAAAUAGUUAUAUAUAUUGAAUUUGUGGUUAAUCAUGUGAAAAUCCCCUGAAAAUCGCGAUUUAUGGCUAUUUUUAGUGUUGGGUUUUCGAUUUUUUCACGCACAAAAUGGGUGUGGAAAAGCAGUUUCCACGCCUGAUUUAGGCGUGGAAACAACUUUCUCACGCCCAUUUUGGGCGUGGAAAAUUAAUUCGGGCGUCCGGU